rnacentral:lncRNA from 1 species
CUGCUGGCCACGCCCUCCUCUCCUCCUGAGGCCGGAGCCCAGACGCAAUGUAGAAAUAAGAGAAUCGCCAGAGCCUUGGAAAAAAUAAGCUGUGGCAAGAGCUCAGAGACGCGAAUUCCGGCUGGGCUUGUCUCUGGGCGGCCUCCUUCCAUGAGGGAGAGUCUGCGCCAAGUAAGUCUCGAUCUCAGCAGUGGGAGAGGAAUUCAGACACCCCGGGCUCUGUCGGCGGCGCUGCUGCCAGGGACCUCCUGGUGGAGCUGUGGAGUCUGAGGCUCCGGCCACUGUCCCCAGGUCUGUCCCCGGUCCCCACCUCAAGUCCUCUCCACGUCGCUCCUCCAGGGUCCUGCUGCGAGGAAGGCAGCCCCGCUGCUGCCAUGGUCCGGGUGGACCCGUGCCCUCCUUGAGGAAGCCUCCCUCCC